rnacentral:tRNA from 1 species
GGGGUUGUGGCUCAGUGGUACAGUACUCACCUGGCACGUGUGAUGCCCUGAGUUAUAUCCUCAGCACCA